UCUAUUUAUUUAGGCAUGUGCACACCUCCCUCUUUCAUCCCACACACACCUGUGAACUUGUGAGACAGUUGGGGAAUUUAUUUGUUAUUUUUUGUAAUAAAAUGAUAAUAAGUCAUUGAACCCUUCUGUCUACUCAACUCAUAUAAAAUCAAUUUAUCUUAAAUGAAUGUAAUGGAUGUAACACAUCUCAUACUAAGUUUCAACAACGGAUCUCUUGGCUCUCGCAUCGAUGAAGAACGCAGCGAAAUGCGAUAAGUAAUGUGAAUUGCAGAAUUCAGUGAAUCAUCGAAUCUUUGAACGCACCUUGCGCUCCUUGGUAUUCCUUGGAGCAUGCCUGUUUGAGUAUCAUGAAAUCUUCAAAAUCAAUCUUUUUGUUAACUCAAUUAGUUUGAUUUUGGUAUUGGAGGUCUUUUGCAGCUUCACACCUGCUCCUCUUUGUGUAUUAGCUGGAUCUCAGUGUUAUGCUUGGUUCCACUCAGCGUGAUAAAUUAUCUAUCGCUGAGGACACUGUAAAAGG
rnacentral:rRNA from 1 species